AUUGAACGCUGGCGGUAUGCUUAACACAUGCAAGUCGAACGGCAGCAUGGUCUAGCUUGCUAGACUGAUGGCGAGUGGCGGACGGGUGAGUAACGCGUAGGAAUAUGCCUUGAAGAGUGGGACAACUUGGGGAAACUCAAGCUAAUAACGCAUGUACUCGAGAGAGUAAAGCUGGGGACCUUUAGGCCUGGCGCUUUAAGAUUUGCCUGCGUCCGAUUAGCUAGUUGGUAGGGUAAAGGCCUACCAAGGCGACGAUCGGUAGCUGGUCUGAGAGGAUGAUCAGCCACACUGGAACUGAGAGACGGUCCAGACUCCUACGGGAGGCAGCAGUGGGGAAUAUUGGACAAUGGGGGGAACCCUGAUCCAGCAAUGCCGCGUGUGUGAAGAAGGCCUGAGGGUUGUAAAGCACUUUCAGUGGGGAGGAGGUUUGGAAGGUUAAGAGCUAUUCAAAUGGACGUUACCCACAGAAGAAGCACCGGCUAACUCCGUGCCAGCCGCCGCAGUAA
rnacentral:rRNA from 1 species